rnacentral:rRNA from 1 species
GACGAACGCUGGCGGCGUGCUUAACACAUGCAAGUCGAACGGAAAGGCCCUGCUUUUGUGGGGUGCUCGAGUGGCGAACGGGUGAGUAACACGUGAGUAACCUGCCCUUGACUUUGGGAUAACUUCAGGAAACUGGGGCUAAUACCGGAUAGGAGCUCCUGCUGCAUGGUGGGGGUUGGAAAGUUUCGGCGGUUGGGGAUGGACUCGCGGCUUAUCAGCUUGUUGGUGGGGUAGUGGCUUACCAAGGCUUUGACGGGUAGCCGGCCUGAGAGGGUGACCGGCCACAUUGGGACUGAGAUACGGCCCAGACUCCUACGGGAGGCAGCAGUGGGGAAUAUUGCACAAUGGGCGGAAGCCUGAUGCAGCAACGCCGCGUGCGGGAUGACGGCCUUCGGGUUGUAAACCGCUUUCGCCUGUGACCAAGCGUGAGUGACGGUAAUGGGUAAAGAAGCACCGGCUAACUACGUG